ensembl:lncRNA NINJ2-AS1 NINJ2 antisense RNA 1
GGAGCGCAGGAACCUUCACCUCCCGAGGACAGGCGCCUUCCCCUCGGGACCCGGCUCCCCUGCUGCCUGCGCCGCUCUGUCCCCCUGCCGCUGCCCAAGCCUCCAGCAGGGGCCACCGAGGGCUCCAGGAGCACCCCAGGCCCGUUCUUCUGGCCCACAGCGCCCCUCCUGUGACCCUCAGCGACCCUCCUGUCCUGCCCUCCGGCGGCGCGGCUGUCUGGAGACUCUGCACCGUCGCGGCCUCGCAGCCUCGCAGCCCCGCGCCGGGUGGGGAGGGGAGGGUGGCGUUCCUGAGUCCGCGGAGGAAAGGGUCGCAGCUGCAGUCGCGCCAGCCCUCGGGCCUACAUCCGCUCCGCCGCGACGCGGCUCACAAACUAGGGAGGGGAGAAGGGAAGAAAGACCCGAUUCGGGAACACGGCUUUGUCCCUGGAACUGUACCUCAUGUCCCCUCACUUAAUCCUCCCAAGACCUGUGGGGCGUGUCGUCAUUUUAGGGCUGGAGAUGAGGAAACCGAGGCUCGGAGAGAUGAAGCGUUGUACGGCCACCGAGCGGCUGCUUUGCAACGAAGCCAAAGCCAACGUUUUGUUCUUAGCGGCGGUCGUUUGAGCCACGCCUCACCGCAACGAGUCUGCCAUCAGCCAAGAGAUGGAGUGAAGGUACCUGAGCGCAGGAACCAUGGUCUUCAUUGCUGCCUCAGCAUUAGCGGAAGUGCCACGGGCCGGCUCCCAGGGGGCCAGAGUUUCCCAGGAACACCAUUGAGUACCACUGAACUAGAGUCUGCAAGUUAAAGUAAGGCAAGAAGGAAAACCGGAAACAACUGUAAAAACCUGACCUUUCGUCACCUUAAUACUGGCCAUCAUUUAUCGAGUGCUUAUUAUGUAACAGACAUUGUUCUCAGUGUGUGAGUGCAGUGUUCCUCAAACCUAAAUGUGGGCCUGAAUCGCAGCGGAUCUUGGUAAAAUGCAGUUUCUCAUUCAGUACCUCUGGGGUGCGGCCUGAGAUUCUGCAUUUCCAACAAGCUCCCAGGAUACUUUGUAUAGAAAGGCUUUGGUGUAUUAACUAACUCGAUCUUCUUAAUAAUCCUAUGAAAUACUACUGCUAUUCCCAUUUUACAGAUGAGGAAACAGAGGUUAAGCAUAUAUGAACUUACAUCAAAAUAAAUAGACUGCAGGGCAAGGAGGGAGGGGAGAAUAGUGUGGGCAGUGUACAGUGCAGAAACAAAGUUCUAGGCAGAGGAAAAAGGAUUUACAGAAAGCCUGGCAUACAGGGCAGGGGGACGGGGCCUGCACACGGGGCUGUUUCACCGUUAGACGUUAUAAGCACAGUACUUGGGGCUAUGGGCUUCCUGAAGGUCCCAAGUAUUUGAGACCUGAAAAAAAUUUAUUGACACCUACAUAGGAAAAGUGAACUUUUAAAUUAAUAAUUCCAAAAUUCAAAUCACGAAUUGUUUCAAAAAUUUUACAUGAUAGAAUUCAUAUUUAGUAAGCGAUACGGGUAUAUUUUAAUGCAUUUGAUUUUAAAAACGGGGUAGGGCCUACUAAGAACAGGCCAAGCCCUGGCCCCAGUGGGUUUGGAUAUAAUCCUGAGGGCAGCUGGGAACCACUGAGAGAAGCAGGAGAAUGUUCUCUGUGGCUACAGUGAGGAGAAUGGAUUGGAGGGAGGCCAGACUGGAGGCCCAGUGGCUAGAGACCAGAUAGGCAGUUACAGUCUUCCAGACUGCGAGACAAUCUCUCUUUAGUGCCAAGAUUAGCAUAAAAUCAUAGCAUUAUAUAACCCAAUUAUUCUUUGAUUCCUGCAUCCCCAAUCUGACUCAGCAUUCUAAAUUUACUUAAGAUCUGGGGACAAGGGUUUUUGGCAAAUCCUUGAAGGCAAAUGAUGUUACAGUCAAUCAGUAUAUGCCUUGAGCCAGACAGACAUGGGUACGGGCCUCAGUUCUGCUGCUUGCUAGCUAUGUGACUUUGCACAAGUGAUUUAACUUCUCUGGGCCUUGGAUUCCUUACUGGUAACACGAGCAUAAUCGAUUCCUCACAGAAUUAAGUGAGAAAACUAUGUAUGUAGGACUUCUUAUGGAGUGGGUACUUAGAAAUAAAUGGUAGCCGUUAUCAUUUAUGUGCCUUUGUUCUGAAAUCUGCUUAAGUUUUCUCUAGGAAGUAACAGAGGGUAGAAUAAAUUAUUUAGUAUUUUCAUCAAUCUUCUGAGAUAAAAAUUAUUAUCCUCAUUUUGCAGAUAAGGAAAAGGGCUCAGAGAUUAGAUCACAGCUCUGUGAAGUAGGGGCACAAAGUGGUCAACCUGGAAGAGCUGGACUUUAUUUUGCUUGCACUUCUGUCCAUGCACUCUCUCCAGCAGUUGACAUUUGCCCUCUUUGAUGGCUCCACGACCAAUUUCCCUUAGUCAUGGCAUGAGUCAGCUGUGAGGGCUGAUGGCACACCACCGAAUACUCUGCUGUGGCGCCACUAGCCUCCAUUUACCUUCUUCUCCAACGUUUUCCAGCCUCCCUCAUACCUUGCCCCCCAGUUUUAUAGCUUCUGGAUUUUCCUUAUUAAAG